GCAGCGGUAGUUCAGUGGUAGAAUUCUCACCUUCCACGGAGGAGACCUGGGUUUAAUUCCUGGCCAAUGUG
rnacentral:tRNA from 1 species